rnacentral:rRNA from 1 species
UACGGAGGGGGCUAGCGUUGUUCGGAAUUACUGGGCGUAAAGCGCGGGUAGGCGGACCUGCAUGUCGGGGGUGAAAGCCCGAGGCUCAACCUCGGAACUGCCUUCGAUACUGCGGGUCUCGAGUCCGGGAUAGGUGAGUGGAAUUCCUAGUGUAGAGGUGAAAUUCGUAGAUAUUAGGAAGAACACCAGUGGCGAAGGCGGCUCACUGGCCCGGUACUGACGCUGAGGCGCUAAAGCGUGGGGAGCAAACAGG